ACGACGCUGGCGGCGUGCCUAAUACAUGCAAGUCGAACGGUCUUUCUAUGGAAGCUUGCUUCCACUGAGAAGAUAGUGGCGAACGGGUGAGUAACACGUGGGUAACCUGCCCAUAAGAGGGGGGAUAACAUCCGGAAACGGGUGCUAAUACCGCAUAGUUUUCUUGGUCGCAUGAUCGGGAAAGGAAAGACGGCCUUUGUGCUGUCGCUUAUGGAUGGACCCGCGGCGUAUUAGUUAGUUGGUGAGGUAACGGCUCACCAAGACGAUGAUACGUAGCCGACCUGAGAGGGUGAUCGGCCACAUUGGGACUGAGACACGGCCCAAACUCCUACGGGAGGCAGCAGUAGGGAAUCUUCCGCAAUGGACGAAAGUCUGACGGAGCAACGCCGCGUGAGUGAAAGAAGGUUUUCGGAUCGUAAAACUCUGUUGUCAGAGAAGAACAAGUUGGAGAGUAACUGCUCCAGCCUUGACGGUAUCUGACCAGAAAGCCACGGCUAACUACGUGCCAGCCGCCGC
rnacentral:rRNA from 1 species